rnacentral:rRNA from 1 species
GUUUGAUCAUGGCUCAGAUUGAACGCUGGCGGCAGGCCUAACACAUGCAAGUCGAGCGGUAGCACAAGAGAGCUUGCUCUCUGGGUGACGAGCGGCGGACGGGUGAGUAAUGUCUGGGAAACUGCCUGAUGGCGGGGGAUAACUAGUGGAAACGGUAGCUAAUACCGCAUAACGUCGCAAGACCAAAGUGGGGGACCUUCGGGCCUCACGCCAUCAGAUGUGCCCAGGUGGGAUUAGCUGGUAGGUGGGGUAACGGCUCACCUAGGCGACGAUCCCUAGCUGGUCUGAGAGGAUGACCAGCCACACUGGAACUGAGACACGGUCCAGACUCCUACGGGAGGCAGCAGUGGGGAAUAUUGCACAAUGGGCGCAAGCCUGAUGCAGCCAUGCCGCGUGUGUGAAGAAGGCCUUCGGGUUGUAAAGCACUUCAGCGAGGAGGAA